AAUGAACGCUGGCGGCGCGCCUAACACAUGCAAGUCGAGCGAGAAGACGUAGCAAUACGUUUGUAAAGCGGCGAACGGGUGAGGAAUACAUGGGUAACCUACCCUAGAGUGGGGAAUAACUAGCCGAAAGGUUAGCUAAUACCGCGUACGCUCCUUGGACUUCGGUUCAGGGAGGAAAGCGAUGCCGAGGGUAUCGCGCUCUUGGAUGGGCUCAUGUCCUAUCAGCUUGNGGUGAGGUAACGGCUCACCAAGGCUUCGACGGGUAGCUGGUCUGAGAGGACGAUCAGCCACACUGGCACUGCGACACGGGCCAGACUCCUACGGGAGGCAGCAGUGGGGAAUCUUGCGCAAUGGGCGAAAGCCUGACGCAGCGACGCCGCGUGAGGGAUGACGGCCU
rnacentral:rRNA from 1 species